UACAGAGGUCUCAAGCGUUGUUCGGAUUCAUUGGGCGUAAAGGGUGCGUAGGCGGCGCGGUAAGUCGGGUGUGAAAUCUCGGAGCUUAACUCCGAAACUGCAUUCGAUACUGCCGUGCUUGAGGACUGGAGAGGAGACUGGAAUUUACGGUGUAGCUGGUGAAAUGCGUAGAUAUCGUAAGGAAGACCAGUGGCGAAGGCGGGUCUCUGGACAGGUUCCUGACGCUGAGGCACGAAGGUCAGGGGAGCAAACGGG
rnacentral:rRNA from 1 species